UGGGGAAUAUUGCACAAUGGGCGCAAGCCUGAUGCAGCCAUGCCGCGUGUAUGAAGAAGGCCUUCGGGUUGUAAAGUACUUUCAGCGGGGAGGAAGGGAGUAAAGUUAAUACCUUUGCUCAUUGACGUUACCCGCAGAAGAAGCACCGGCUAACUCCGUGCCAGCAGCCGCGGUAAUACGGAGGGUGCAAGCGUUAAUCGGAAUUACUGGGCGUAAAGCGCACGCAGGCGGUUUGUUAAGUCAGAUGUGAAAUCCCCGGGCUCAACCUGGGAACUGCAUCUGAUACUGGCAAGCUUGAGUCUCGUAGAGGGGGGUAGAAUUCCAGGUGUAGCGGUGAAAUGCGUAGAGAUCUGGAGGAAUACCGGUGGCGAAGGCGGCCCCCUGGACGAAGUCUGACGCUCAGGUGCGAAAGCGUGGGGAGCAAACAGG
rnacentral:rRNA from 1 species